ensembl:lncRNA
CUUGGAAUCCAGAGAGAUCCCACGGCUCCGUGUUGACGACGGCUUGUGAGGGGGCCCUAGAGACUUUGUAAGUGGCCACGGGCUGUUACUGGGACGGCUGCAGUGACGUCCGCAUUCUUCCCGAGGUCUGCUCAGAACGACCAACUACAUUCACACACAAGCCGUUGUCACCAGCCCUCAUUUUGCUGAACGUGAGAAACCAUCCUGCCAGCGACAUAAGGCUUUGGUGUGACUGGAUUUUACUAAAAAUUUGAAGGCUGAGAAUCUGGGAAAAGCAGUUUUCACACGUGUUCCUGUUCAUUCGUGCUCUCAGCGGUGGUAAAUUGAGGCCAUCAGGGUGAGGAUAUGGCAGGAAGACCGGGACAGCAGCCUCUGCAUCUCCCUUGAAUAGCAGUGACUAGAAAGCUGCAGAGUAUUAGAUAUUCACACGGGGUAUCAGUGAACGCAAAUUCCCU